AUUGAACGCUGGCGGCAUGCCUUACACAUGCAAGUCGAACGGCAGCGGGGGAGAAGCUUGCUUUUCCUGCCGGCGAGUGGCGAACGGGUGAGUAAUACAUCGGAACGUGCCCUGUAGUGGGGGAUAACUAGUCGAAAGAUUAGCUAAUACCGCAUACGACCUGAGGGUGAAAGUGGGGGACCGCAAGGCCUCAUGCUAUAGGAGCGGCCGAUGUCUGAUUAGCUAGUUGGUGGGGUAAAGGCCUACCAAGGCGACGAUCAGUAGCUGGUCUGAGGGGACGAUCAGCCACACUGGGACUGAGACAAGGCCCAGACUCCUACGGGAGGCAGCAGUGGGGAAUUUUGGACAAUGGGCGAAAGCCUGAUCCAGCAAUGCCGCGUGUGUGAAGAAGGCCUUCGGGUUGUAAAGCACUUUUGUCCGGAAAGAAAUGGCUCUGGUUAAUACCUGGGGUCGAUGACGGUACCGGAAGAAUAAGGACCGGCUAACUACGUGCCAGCCGCCGCUGUAACAC
rnacentral:rRNA from 1 species